UAAUUGUCGAGGAGUUCAUGUUUUCAUUCACAAACUACUUUGUGAAUUGUUUUUACUGAUGUAUGAUAUUUAUUAGGCUUGUUUUUGCAUCAACAACGUUAUUUUUAUUGCGUUCUGUGAUCAGUAAUGGACGAUGCUAUAAACAAAGAUGAAGUUUGUCCGGAGGAAGCUGCCUUUAACUGGUUGUUGAUAUCUGGUGCUCUGGAAAGCUUACGCGAACAGUGUAAUUUUUACGAUACAGAAACGUCCGACUGCAAAAUGGAAAGAAAAAUUUUUACACUUGUAUUAAAUGUGGAUGUCGGAUAUCUAUUGGAAUAUGACGCUCAUCUUGGCAAUAUAGUAUGUAACCAUCCACAAAAGGCGAAACAAUUAUUCCAAGAGGCCUGUUUUGUUUGUAUUCGAACGCUCAACUGGAACCGUCAUGUCACGUCAAUAUCUCAAAUAAAUCCUCAAAUUCGAUAUACAUGUUUACCGCGAUACAUCAGGCAAGAAUCCAGCGGUCUGCGUUGGCACUUUAUUACCUUGAACAAAUACAACGUUCAUUGCAUUUGCUUUUAAUUUAGUUGUUCUUCAUUGUCCUCGUUAAAAGAAAUCAUGGAAACCAACAGUGGAGAAAUGCCGUUAUUUUCCACCAUUGGUCUGGUCAUCGACAUGACGACUCCAGAAUCUUACAUAAAGACCAGUUGCUUUGAAUGUAAAAACAGUUUAUGCAGCUUUGAAUUUGGAACUGGAUUUGAUA